UACAGAGGGGGCUAGCGUUGUUCGGAAUUACUGGGCGUAAAGGGCGCGUAGGCGGCCCGCUAAGUCGAACGUGAAAUCCCCGGGCUCAACCUGGAAACUGCAUCCGAAACUGCCUUGCUAGAGUAUGGGAGAGGGAAGUGGAAUUUCCGGUGUAGCGGUGAAAUGCGUAGAUAUCGGAAGGAACAUCAGUGGCGAAGGCGACUUCCUGGACCAAUACUGACGCUCAGGUGCGAAAGCGUGGGGAGCAAACAGG
rnacentral:rRNA from 1 species